UCGGCUUCGGUGCAGGUUCGUGAGGC
rnacentral:misc_RNA from 1 species